UACGGGGGGAGCAAGCGUUGUUCCGAUUUACUGGGCGUAAAGGGCGCGUAGGCGGCCACCGCAAGUCAAUUGUGAAAUCUCCGGGCUUAACUCGGAAAGGUCAACUGAUACUGCGGGGCUAGAGUGCAGAAGGGGCAACUGGAAUUCUCGGUGUAGCGGUGAAAUGCGUAGAUAUCGAGAGGAACACCUGCGGCGAAGGCGGGUUGCUGGGCUGACACUGACGCUGAGGCGCGAAAGCUAGGGGAGCGAACGGG
rnacentral:rRNA from 1 species